rnacentral:lncRNA from 1 species
GCUCUCGCAUGGUUUAGUCAACAUUCAACGUCCGCUGUGGCCCUUCGAAACAGUCUCCUAGCAAGCCAAGCUGUGGUAUAUCCCUAAAGUCUCAUCCCUUAUAGUCCUUUAGUGGUAAUCCAUUUGGCUCGUUACAGUCUCAUCUCGUCAGUCAGUCGACUUGUGGUAUAGAAUUCGCUUGUGUUAGUCUAUUAGAGUGUCCAAUCCCUCCAUCCAGUAUCGUCUCAGUCGUUGAUCUCCCUGCAUGCCAGUCUAGCUCGCACACAAAGACAAGCGUUGAGUCUAAUCGAACCUUGCCUGCCUCCGUGCUCUUUAGGUAAGUAGGCUAGAGUUUUCUAAUCCGCCUUCUUAUCGUCAGUAAGAGUGUU